GAGAGAGACAUGCGCGCAUAUCAAUAAGCGGAGGAAAAGAAACUAACAAGGAUUCCCUUAGUAACGGCGAGUGAAGCGGGAAGAGCUCAAAUUUGAAAUCUUCAAGGUUUUACCUUGACGAAUUGUAGUUUAAAGAAGUGUUUUCUGCUGAAGUUUUGGUAAAAGUUCUUUGGAAUAGGACAUCAUAGAGGGUGAGAAUCCCGUAUUUGACCAUUAUUUUCAGCUUUGUGAUACACUUUCAAAGAGUCGGAUUGUUUGGGAAUGCAGUCCAAAAUGGGUGGUAAAUUUCAUCUAAAGCUAAAUAUUGGCGAGAGACCGAUAGCGAACAAGUACCGUGAGGGAAAGAUGAAAAGAACUUUGAAAAGAGAGUUAAACAGUACGUGAAAUUGUCAAAAGGGAAGCGUUUGACACCAGUGUUGUUUUCUCGAAAAUCAAUUAAAAAUGGCUCGAUUUUGUAUUGCUUGAGACCUUAAAAGCUCACUGUACAUUUUUCGUGUCUUUUUUAAUGCACUUUUCGUUUAACAAGUCAACAUCAGUUUCUUUAUGUUGUAAAAGGGUCAUUGGAAGGUGGCUUUCUUUUCGGAGAAAGUGUUUAUAGCCUUUGGCCUCUGCAAUCGAAGAGACUGAGGUCUGCAGCGUAGACUCUUCGGGGUUAGAUACAUUUGUGCUAAGUUAUAGCUUUUUAUAGACAACUUGUUGACUAUAAUUAGUCUUGUAGCUUACUCGCUUAUGCUAUUCUACCUACGCUUAGGAUGUUGAAGAUGUAGCACAUCAU
rnacentral:rRNA from 1 species